UUUUCAGCUUUAUCAGCUUCGCAUCCACUGCUUUCAGGACAUGGAAAUGACAUAGGAUGUGUGUUGCGCUGGUGAAAUAUUUUGCAAGAGCAGCGAUCUCUGCGCAGUCCUUAUCCGUAACCGUUACAGUUGUAACGGAAACAUCAUUGUUCUGCAAAAAAAAAGUUGCAGGCAUGUUGCAAUUGAUUCCACAGUUUCUUCCUUCAUGAAGAACAUCGCGACAGGCUACCCGUCGCCAUUGUUAUCCUCUAUUAAAAGAUGAUAAAGGGAAAAGCCAGCCUUGGUGGUUUUGUCCAUCAGAUAAUCAACGGUAUCUCUCCAUUCAUUAUCUGACUUCCCUGUCAAUGCCUGUUUGAUUUUGAUCAGGUCUUUACUGAUGAGAUGGCUGCCAAAUUUAUCUGGCAACAGCUUUCUCACUUUAGUGGGUUGAGCACCGACGGAAAGAGUAGCUUCUGCAAAGGCAACAGCCUCAGAGACGUGCUCAGCGGAAACGGGGUGGUUCUGGUGGACAACUUCCAAUGAGGCAACAUAAAUUUUUUCCUGCCUGGAACAGAACGUGAAUUGUACUUUUACUGGACAAAUUUGGGGCAUCACAUUUUGAUUGAGUCUAUCCUUUGUCUUGGAGCGAUCCCGAUGUAUCCCGUAAUGCGGGCAAACAUACGUAAGUCUUUUAAACAACCACUUUUCAUCAAUCUUAUUCUUAUUGUUAAUGUCUUUGUUAUAACUCACAACACUCUGAAUAGGUUUAUCACGGCGCAAAUACACACUAUCUUCCACCUCGA